rnacentral:lncRNA from 1 species
CCUUGCUUUGCCUCUCCAAGCCACCAGACAGCAGCUGGGCCACCUAGGCGGCUGCUGGCGUAGACGCUGGCGCUCUCUGCACGCUCUCUGUGCUGACGCCGGGACCCAGGGAGGCUCACGGUCGGGCACUCUGUCCCUCAGCCUGGUGCACGGACUGCGCCUGAGCUCAGCAGUAACCACAACAACAUGGCUCUGGGUUGGCUCGGAGUGAGGACAGGAAAGAUGCCUGCUCUAAAAAUAUAGGAUAUGGCUCCAGAUCUCUGUUCUGAGAACAGCUGGUCACGUUCAAAAUGAAUGCCUAAAGAAAAUAGCAAAUUUGAGAAGAAAUGCGAAUUCCUGAAUUUUGGCAAGGAAAGGCCGGCCGGAGAUAGUAAUGGUUCACAAGCUGUUCAGAUCAGUGCUCCAAGGGCUCCGUCAGCCAGCACUCCGUUCUGGUUUCAGCAGUCCAGCACCCUCUUCAUCGGCGUCUGCCGUCCAGCCAGUGGGAUGGGAAUCUGCAGAAGACCUGGACGCCGGCAGAGUGCUGGGGUGGUCCUGCAAGCCUGGGACCGUGUUACGUGACCGCAGCACUGGCCUGAGCUGUGAGCAAGGGGAUUGGCCUGACRACUGGAAGUCUCUGCGGAUGAAAGGAGAAGCAAGCUAUGAAUUCCCACGGGGGUACCCAGAGGUUUUGCGYAGGCUCCCUUGUGUUAGCAGGCUCCUGGCUGACCUUGCACCCGUCUCGCUCUUGGGGGAGCGCUGCCCAGCAAGGACUCGCUCUGGACCAGGGUGGUGA